rnacentral:rRNA from 1 species
AGUGAACGCUGGCGGUAGGCCUAACACAUGCAAGUCGAACGGCAGCACAGUAAGAGCUUGCUCUUACGGGUGGCGAGUGGCGGACGGGUGAGGAAUACAUCGGAAUCUACUUUUUCGUGGUGGAAAACGUAGGGAGACUUACGCUAAUACUGCAUACGACCUACGGGUGAAAACAGGGGAUCUUCGGACCUGUCGCGACUGAAUUAGCAGAAGUCGGAUUAGCUAGUGGGCAGGGUAAAGGCCCACCAACGCGACGAUCCGUAGCUGGUCUGAGAGGAAGAACAGCCAGCCGGGAGCUGAGACAGGGUCCCGACUCUGACGCGAGGAAGCAGUCGGGAAUCUUGGACAAUGGGGGAAAGCCUGAUCCAGCCAUACCGCGUGAGUCAAGAAGGCCUUCCGGUUGUAAAGCCAUUUUGUUGGGAAAGAAAAGCAGCAGGUUAAUACCCCGCUGUUCUGACGGUACCCAAAGAAUAAGCACCGGCUAACUUCGUG